rnacentral:rRNA from 1 species
UACGUAGGGUGCGAGCGUUGUCCGGAAUUAUUGGGCGUAAAGGGCUCGUAGGCGGUUUGUCGCGUCGGGAGUGAAAUCCACUGGCUUAACUGGUGGCUUGCUUUCGAUACGGGCAGACUGGAGGUAUGCAGGGGAGAACGGAAUUCCAGGUGUAGCGGUGAAAUGCGUAGAUAUCUGGAGGAACACCGGUGGCGAAGGCGGCAUCCUGGACCGACACUGACACUGAGGAGCGAAAGCCAGGGGAGCAAACGGG